GAUUACGGCCACACCACCCUGAAUGCGCCUGAUCUCGUCUGAUCUCGGAAGCUAAGCAAGGUCAGGCCUGGUAAGUACUUGGAUGGGUGACCGCCUGAGAAUACCAGGUGCUGUAAGCU
rnacentral:rRNA from 1 species